rnacentral:lncRNA from 1 species
UGUGUCAGCAAUAUUGGCAAGUCAGAAGUCAAUUUUAGUCCAUUGUAGCGUCCACCCCUGUAAACAAUUUGCAUGACGCUGGACAAGUGAAGGAGAUCCUCAUUUCAAACAAGAGCAUUAGUUGGCACAUUUCUCCACCUCAGUUACCUUUUCUUCUAAAGGGAGGCACAGUAACAGGGGAACGACGAUUAAGGAGUUGGGCAAACCAAAUUAUGAUCUCCCUAGUUGAGUGGUCGGGUGGUCUGUUCAAGGCUUGACGCUUCUGGUGAGGCGCCGGGGCCGGACGCUUCUGCUGAGGCGCUAUUGCUGAGGCGCCGGGGCCGGAUGCUAUUGCUGAGGCGCCGGGGCCGGACGCUUCUGCUGAGGCGCCGGGGCCGGACGCUUCUGCUGAGGCGCUUCUCCUGAGGCUUCUGCUGAGGCGCCGGACGCUUCUGCUGAGGCGCCGGACGCUUCUGCUGAGGCGCCGGACGCUUCUGCUGAGGCGCCGGACGCUUCUGCUGAGGCGCCGGACGCUUCUGCUGAGGCGCCGGACGCUUCUGCUGAGGCGCCGGGGCCGGACUUCACACUUGACGGGGCAUUGUGGCCAGUAGAUUCUGCUGACGUGGCAUUGUGGCCAGUAGCUUCUGCUGACGUGGCAUUGUGGCCAGUAGCUUCUGCUGACGUGGCAUUGUGGCCAGUAGCUUCUGCUGACGUGGCAUUGUGGCCAGUAGCUUCUGCUGACGUGGCAUUGUGGCCAG